CCGCGACCCCAGGUCAGGCGGGACUACCCGCUGAGC
rnacentral:rRNA from 2 species